UUCACUUUUCUUCUUCGUCCUGUCUGCUUCUUCUUUACUCGAUUAGGGUUUUGAUUUUGGGUUCUUCGUCGAGCAAUUCGUGUAAUUGUCUUUAAGAUCAGGUGUUGAAUUGUAGCUGACGUAGCUAAUUAGGGUUUCGUCAUGCUUCGUUUGUCGAGUAUCAUCACGAAAUUAUGGUUUUUCGCGAUCGUGAUGCAAUCAAUUUUGGGGAUUUCGUUGGAAAAAUCAAAAUUUUUAAAUUUUUGAAGAACUUAAAAAUUUGGAUUUUGGAGAUCGCAGAGUGUUGAAUAAGCUUAGAUUGUGAAAGCGAUCGAUUAGUUUUAAGGUGGUUCUGUUGAUUUUUUUGUGUAAGAAGACUCUUAAUCCAACAUUUAGUGUAUGACUUGAGCAACAAGCUAAAACAAAAUUGAUUUGGUGUAUGUGCAAGUUUCAAACUUUAUUGACAAUUUUUAAUUCCUUCUUCUUCGGUGUCUUUUUCA